UUUGGUAGCUUGCUACUAGAGAGAGCGGCGUACGGGGUGCGUAACAUGUGUGCAACCUACCCUUAUCAAGGGGAUAGCCAUUCGAAAGGAUGAUUAAUACCCUAUAAUAUAUCAGGUGGCAUCAUUUGAUAUUGAAAGCUACGGUGGAUAAGGAUGGGCACGCACAAGAUUAGCUAGUUGGUAAGGUAACGGCUUACCAAGGCGAUGAUCUUUAGGGGUCCUGAGAGGGAGAUCCCCCCACACUGGGACUGAGACACGGCCCAGACUCCUACGGGAGGCAGCAGUGAGGAAUAUUGGACAAUGGGUGGGAGCCUGAUCCAGCCAUUCCGCGUGCAGGAAGAAGGUCUUAUGGAUUGUAAACUGCUUUUAUAUAGGGAUAAACCUACUCUCGAGAGGGUAGCUGAAGGUACUAUAUGAAUAAGCACCGGCUAACUCCGUG
rnacentral:rRNA from 1 species